GACGUAGGGCGCGAGCGUUGUCCGGAUUUAUUGGGCGUAAAGAGCUCGUAGGCGGUUCAGUAAGUCGGGUGUGAAAUCUCCGUGCUCAACACGGAGCGGCCACCUGAUACUGCUGUGACUCGAGUCCGGUAGGGGAGUGUGGAAUUCCUGGUGUAGCGGUGGAAUGCGCAGAUAUCAGGAGGAACACCGGUGGCGAAGGCGGGAUCCUGGGCCAGUACUGACGCUGAGGAGCGAAAGCGUGGGAGCAAACAGG
rnacentral:rRNA from 1 species